GGGAGGGGAACGAGUCCGCCCCGUCGCCACCUUCCCUAGGUGCGGUGCGGAUUCCCCGACCUAUCCUCUAGCAGCGGCGCAGCUUGGAGAGGUGGUGGAGGAGGGAGCGUGGCGGCGGCGCUGGUUUUCCCCCGUGUCGCCAGACGCGGGCGACGCGGGGGACGGGCUUCCUAACUCGGCUCCCAGCUGUGGCCCGACCUCCUCCGGCCAGGCCUGCACCCUGACGCCCCUUCGAGUAGCUCGUUGAGUGGCACGCGGGGAUGAGAGGAGGGGAAGAUGGGAUCGAGAUGGGAUUGUGGGGGUCUAUUUUUUUACCGGUUUUUUUCUGUGCGGAGCGUGG
rnacentral:lncRNA from 1 species